GAUGAAGAACGUAGCGAAAUGCGAUAAGUAAUGUGAAUUGCAGAGUUCAGUGAAUCAUCGAAUCUUUGAACGCACAUUGCGCCCGUCAGUAUUCUGACGGGCAUGCCUGUCCGAGCGUCAUUUGUACCCUCAAGCUUUGCUUGGUGUUGGGCGUCUUGUCUCUAGCUUUGCUGGAGACUCGCCUUAAAGUAAUUGGCAGCCGGCCUACUGGUUUCGGAGCGCAGCACAAGUCGCACUCUCUAUCAGCAAAGGUCUAGCAUCCAUUAAGCCUUUUUUUCAACUUUUGACCUCGGAUCAGGUAGGGAUACCCGCUGAACUUAAGCAUAUCAAUAAGCGGAGGA
rnacentral:misc_RNA from 1 species